rnacentral:tRNA from 1 species
GCUCUUCUAGUAUAUCUAUUACAAUUGACUUCCAAUCUCUAAAAUCUGGUUAAUCCCCAGAGAAGAGCA